rnacentral:lncRNA from 1 species
CCUCUUCAGCCUGCUCUCUCUUUCCGAAGGCCCCACCGGCUUCCCGGAUGGAGCCCGCGCCCCGGUCGACAUUCUCGGACUGCAGAGAGACAGGGACACUGGUAAAGAUGAGAGAAUUGGGCCAGAUUAUCUACCUGAUUGAUGAUUAUAAAAAUACCUUCUUUGGGGCUGGGCGUGGUGUCUCACACCUGUAAUCCCAGCACUUCGGGAGGCCGAGGCGCAUGGAUCAUGAGGUCAGGAGUUCGAGAUCAGCCUGACUAACUCCGUCUCUACUAAAAAUACAAAAAUCAGCCGGGCGUGGUGACAUGCGCCUGUAAUCUCAGCUACUCAGGAGGUUGAGGCAGGAGAAUUGCUUGAACCUGGGAGGCGGCGGUUGCAGUGAGCCAAGAUCAUGCCACUGCACUCCAGCCUGGGCAACAGAGCAAGCCUCUGCCUCAAAAAAACAAAACAAAACAAAACCUUCUUUGUUUUCUAUGAAAUAGUAAAACUGGCUUUAUUGAUUAUAUUUUAGUUGAGAAAA